AAGACUAAAACCCUCCAAGCAAAGGAAUGUAGAAGUGAUCUGUACUUAUAAAGAGCAACCUAACAUAGUAGUGCAUUGAUUCCUAAAAAUCUCUUUAAGUUGAUCGAGCAGCUCAUUUGCUGCCUCAUAACUUGUCACCUUUCCUAGAGGGCUUACGAGGCGGCGAUACACGGGGAAGAUGAAAAACUUUUUUCAUCCAUCUCCUCGAGAAGCAACAGGGUCUCUCCACUCUAUUUGUUU